ACGGGCCCCACCUGUCAAAGCUACGUCGUGUCUUUACUACGAACCGUGAACCAUUUUCAUAGUGAUUUUUUAUUGUAUAAUUAAAACAGUCCAAUAUUGUUUCACAAUUAGAAUGCCGAAGAUAAAAACUAAAUCAUAUUCUGUAAACAAAUUCUAAAUGGAUACUCAACAAGAAAAUAAGCAAGCUCUCCCUCGUAAUUUUCAAUGUAGCAAACAAGGAAAUCUUAGAAUGCUGGGAAUUCAACGUGCAGUAUGAAGAUGGUGACGCAGCAUUAUCAAAAGAAAAUAAUGAAACCGUAGGUA
rnacentral:misc_RNA from 1 species